rfam:Chroococcales cyanobacterium CENA595 contig_7306, whole genome shotgun sequence.
GGUCAAGCUACAAAGGGCUGAUGGUGGAUACCUAGGCACGCAGAGGCGAAGAAGGACGUGGCGACCGACGAAAAGCUCCGGGGAGCUGGAAGCAAGCAUUGAGCCGGAGAUAUCCGAAUAGGGCAACCUAAAAACAGCUUGUUGAAUAUAUAGACAAGCAUGAGCGAACCCAGCGAACUGAAACAUCUUAGUAGCUGGAGGAAAAGAAAGAAAAAUCGAUUUCCUUAGUAGUGGUGAGCGAAAGGGAAAGAGCCUAAACCAAGUGUUUUCACACUUGGGGUAGUGGGACAGCAAUAUGGAAGCUGGAAGCUAGACGAAGCAGAUAGAAACUGCACCAGAGAAGGUAAUAGUCCUGUAGUCGAAAGUGGAAGGAUACUAGCUGCAUCCCGAGUAGCGCGGAACACGGGAAAUUCCGCGUGAAUCAGCCUCGACCACGAGGUAAGGCUAAAUACUACUGCGUGACCGAUAGCGAAACAGUACCGCGAGGGAAAGGUGAAAAGAACCCCGGAAGGGGAGUGAAAUAGAAUAUGAAACCAUCAGCUUACAAGCAGUGGGAGGACGAUUCAACGUCUGACCGCGUGCCUGUUGAAGAAUGAGCCGGCGAGUUAUAGGUACUGGUAGGUUAAGGCACUUGGUGCUGAAGCCAAAGCGAAAGCGAGUCUGAAUAGGGCAAUUAAUCAGUAUUUAUAGACCCGAACCCGGGUGAUCUAACCAUGUCCAGGAUGAAGCUUGGGUAACACCAAGUGGAGGUCCGCACCGACUGAUGUUGAAAAAUCAGCGGAUGAGGUGUGGUUAGGGGUGAAAUGCCAAUCGAACCCGGAGCUAGCUGGUUCUCCCCGAAAUGUGUUGAGGCGCAGCGGUGACGAUUAUAGUUUGGGGGUAAAGCACUGUUUCGGUGCGGGCGGCGAAAGCUGUACCAAAUCGAGACAAACUCAGAAUACCAAACGCACACGUCACCAGACAGACGGUGGGGGAUAAGCUUCAUCGUCAAGAGGGAAACAGCCCAGACCACCAGCUAAGGUCCCCAAAUUGUCACUAAGUGAUAAAGGAGGUGGGAGUGCAAAGACAACCAGGAGGUUUGCCUAGAAGCAGCCAUCCUUGAAAGAGUGCGUAAUAGCUCACUGGUCAAGCGCUCCUGCGCCGAAAAUGAACGGGGCUAAGUGACGUACCGAAGCUGUGGGAUAAUUUGAUUAUCGGUAGGGGAGCGUUCUGUAGUAGGAAGAAGCACUAGCGGCAAGCAGGUGUGGACGAAGCAGAAGUGAGAAUGUCGGCUUGAGUAGCGAAAACAUUGGUGAGAAUCCAAUGCCCCGAAACCCUAAGGGUUCCUCCGGCAGGUUCGUCCGCGGAGGGUUAGUCAGGACCUAAGGCGAGGCCAAACGGCGUAGUCGAUGGACAACGGGUGAUUAAUCCCGUACUGAGUAUGGUUUGUGCAGAGGGACGGAGAAGGCGUAUGUUAGCCAGAUGUUGGUUACUGGUGCAAGUACUAAGGCGCUGAGGAGCGGCGAAAACGCUCUGAGCUAAGGUGCGAGUCCGAGCGUCUACGGACGCGAAGUAGCAAAGUCAAGCUUCCCAGAAAAGCUCCAAGCACGUUAAGCCACAUUCACCUGUACCCGAAACCGACACAGGUAGGGAGGUUGAGAAAACUAAGGGGCGCGAGAUAACUCUCUCUAAGGAACUCGGCAAAAUGGCCCCGUAACUUCGGAAGAAGGGGUGCCCACCUCAGACGUGGGUCGCAGUGAAGAGAUCCAGGCGACUGUUUACCAAAAACACAGGUCUCCGCCAAGUCGAACGACGAAGUAUGGGGGCUGACGCCUGCCCAGUGCCGGAAGGUUAAGGAAGUCGGUCAGGGCGCAAGCCUGAAGCUGGCGACCGAAGCCCCGGUGAACGGCGGCCGUAACUAUAACGGUCCUAAGGUAGCGAAAUUCCUUGUCGGGUAAGUUCCGACCCGCACGAAAGGCGUAACGAUCUGGAUGGUGUCUCAGAGAGAGACUCGGCGAAAUAGGAAUGUCUGUGAAGAUACGGACUGCCUGCACCUGGACAGAAAGACCCUAUGAAGCUUUACUGUAGCCUGUAAUUGGCUCCGGGCUGUGUUUGCGCAGGAUAGGUGGGAGGCAUUGAGAUUGCCCUUGUGGGGGCAAAGGAGCCAACGGUGAGAUACCACUCUAACACAGCUAGGAUUCUAACUUGGAGCCGUAAUCCGGCACGAGAACAGUUGCAGGUGGGCAGUUUGACUGGGGCGGUCGCCUCCCAAAUGGUAACGGAGGCGCGCAAAGGUUCCCUCAGCACGCUUGGAAACCGUGCAUAGAGUGUAAAGGCAUAAAGGGAGCUUGACUGCAAGAGCGACAACUCAAGCAGGGACGAAAGUCGGCCUUAGUGAUCCGACGGCACUGAGUGGAAGGGCCGUCGCUCAACGGAUAAAAGUUACUCUAGGGAUAACAGGCUGAUCUCCUCCAAGAGUUCACAUCGACGAGGAGGUUUGGCACCUCGAUGUCGGCUCAUCGCAACCUGGGGCGGAAGUACGUCCCAAGGGUUGGGCUGUUCGCCCAUUAAAGCGGUACGUGAGCUGGGUUCAGAACGUCGUGAGACAGUUCGGUCCAUAUCCGGUGCAGGCGCAAGAGCAUUGAGAGGAGCCCUCCUUAGUACGAGAGGACCGGGAGGGACGCACCGCUGGUGUGCCAGUUAUCGUGCCAACGGUAAACGCUGGGUAGCCAAGUGCGGCGCGGAUAACCGCUGAAAGCAUCUAAGUGGGAAGCCCACCUCAAGAUGAGUGCUCUCACUACAAUAAGUAGGUAAGGUCACAGGAAGAUUACCUGUUGAUAGGCGCGAGGUGGAAGUGCAGUAAUGUAUGUAGCCGAAGCGUACUAAUAGACCGAGGGCUUGACCUG